CCUAACACAUGCAAGUCGAACGGUAACAGGAAGCAGCUUGCUGCUUCGCUGACGAGUGGCGGACGGGUGAGUAAUGUCUGGGAAACUGCCUGAUGGAGGGGGAUAACUACUGGAAACGGUAGCUAAUACCGCAUAACGUCGCAAGACCAAAGAGGGGGACCUUCGGGCCUCUUGCCAUCAGAUGUGCCCAGAUGGGAUUAGCUAGUAGGUGGGGUAACGGCUCACCUAGGCGACGAUCCCUAGCUGGUCUGAGAGGAUGACCAGCCACACUGGAACUGAGACACGGUCCAGACUCCUACGGGAGGCAGCAGUGGGGAAUAUUGCACAAUGGGCGCAAGCCUGAUGCAGCCAUGCCGCGUGUAUGAAGAAGGCCUUCGGGUUGUAAAGUACUUUCAGCGGGGAGGAAGGCGAUGCGGUUAAUAACCGCGUCGAUUGACGUUACCCGCAGAAGAAGCACCGGCUAACUCCGUGCCAGCAGCCGCGGUAAUACGGAGGGUGCAAGCGUUAAUCGGAAUUACUGGGCGUAAAGCGCACGCAGGCGGUCUGUCAAGUCGGAUGUGAAAUCCCCGGGCUCAACCUGGGAACUGCAUCCGAAACUGGCAGGCUUGAGUCUCGUAGAGGGGGGUAGAAUUCCAGGUGUAGCGGUGAAAUGCGUAGAGAUCUGGAGGAAUACCGGUGGCGAAGGCGGCCCCCUGGACGAAGACUGACGCUCAGGUGCGAAAGCGUGGGGAGCAAACAGGAUUA
rnacentral:rRNA from 1 species